rnacentral:rRNA from 1 species
UACGGAAGGCAGCAGUGGGGAAUAUUGCACAAUGGGCGCAAGCCUGAUGCAGCCAUGCCGCGUGUAUGAAGAAGGCCUUCGGGUUGUAAAGUACUUUCAGUCGUGAGGAAGGUGUUAAGGUUAAUAACCUUAGCAAUUGACGUUAGCGACAGAAGAAGCACCGGCUAACUCCGUGCCAGCAGCCGCGGUAAUACGGAGGGUGCGAGCGUUAAUCGGAAUUACUGGGCGUAAAGGGCACGCAGGCGGUUAAUUAAGUUGGAUGUGAAAUCCCCGGGCUUAACCUGGGAAUGGCAUUCAAGACUGGUUAGCUAGAGUCUUGUAGAGGGGGUAGAAUUCCAUGUGUAGCGGUGAAAUGCGUAGAGAUGUGGAGGAAUACCGGUGGCGAAGGCGGCCCCUGGGACAAAGACUGACGCUCAUGUGCGAAAGCGUGGGGAGCAAACAGGAUUUAGAUACC